rnacentral:rRNA from 1 species
UACGAGUGCCUCAAGCGUUAUCCGGAAUUAUUGGGCGUAAAGGGUCCGUAGGCGGUCUUAUUAGUCUCUUGUUAAAUCUCCCGGCUCAACUGGGAAGCAGCGAGGGAAACGGUAGGACUAGAGGGCAUAAGAGGUACACGGAACUCAUAGUGUAGGGGUGAAAUCCGUUGAUAUUAUGGGGAACACCAAAUGCGAAGGCAGUGUACUAGUAUGUUUCUGACGCUGAGGGACGAAAGCGUGGGUAGCGAAGGGG